rnacentral:pre_miRNA from 1 species
AGUGGGCUAGCUGGGUCAAAUGGUGGUUCCAUUCCAAGUUUUUUUUAAGGAAUUUCCAUACUACUUUCCAGAUUGGUUGCACCAAUUUGCAGUCCCACCAGCAAU